rnacentral:rRNA from 1 species
AGUGGCGGACGGGUGAGUAACGCGUGGGUAACCUGCCUCAUACAGGGGGAUAACAGUUAGAAAUGACUGCUAAUACCGCAUAAGACCACAGCACCGCAUGGUACAGGGGUAAAAACUCCGGUGGUAUGAGAUGGACCCGCGUCUGAUUAGGUAGUUGGUGGGGUAACGGCCUACCAAGCCGACGAUCAGUAGCCGACCUGAGAGGGUGAUCGGCCACAUUGGGACUGAGACACGGCCCAA